GCGGAUGUGGCGGAAUUGGUAGACGCGCUGCGUUCAGGUCGCAGUGGGCUCCGGCCCGUGGAAGUUCGAGUCUUCUCAUCCGCA
rnacentral:tRNA from 1 species